UACGUAGGGUGCAAGCGUUGUCCGGAAUUAUUGGGCGUAAAGGGCGCGUAGGCGGCUACGCACGUCCGUUGUGAAAUCGCUCGGCUCAACUGGGCGGGGUCAGCGGAUACGGCGUAGCUGGAGCAAGCUAGGGGGCAAUGGAAUUCCCGGUGUAGUGGUGGAAUGCGUAGAUAUCGGGAGGAACACCAGUGGCGAAGGCGGUUGCCUGGAGCUUUGCUGACGCUGAUGCGCGAAAGCGUGGGGAGCGAUCCGG
rnacentral:rRNA from 1 species